AAAAGACUAAAAUACCCUCGGAUUUCUUCAAAAUUUAUGAAAAUGCCACUGGCGGCGCAUGUGGCUCACGCGCGGCUACUGUUGCACUUGUUAAAUUUUA